UAGCCGUAAACGAUACUCGCUAGGUGUCGGCCACGGUGCGACCGUUGUCGGUGCCGUAGGGAAGCCGUGAAGCGAGCCACCUGGGAAGUACGGCCGCAAGGCUGAAACUUAAAGGAAUUGGCGGGGGAGCACAACAACGGGUGGAGCUUGCGGUUUAAUUGGACUCAACGCCGGAAACUCACCGGGGGCGACGGUUACAUGAAGGCCAGGCUGAUGACCUUGCCUGAUUUUUCCGAGAGGAGGUGCAUGGCGUAGUCGUGU
rnacentral:rRNA from 1 species